CAUUUACACAUUGUGACCAUAGAGUUACAACUGACAGCCUUUAAGUAAAAGCCUUGAAGUAAAGCAGAAUACAUAACAUUGUAUUACCAAAAGCUAAACUACAGAACAUGAUUUGAGAGAUACAUCAUAGUAAUUUAGCAUUUAGUCCAAGAAACAAAUGACAAACCAUCAUCUAACUUCUCUAAGAUAUGCAGUCACCAGUAGAGUUACAAUAAUCAAGUCUUGCUGUUUCAGCCCCAAAUUUUUCUUAAAUUUGUGAUUGCAUUCACUUUUUCUCAUAUUUUAAAUAGUAACUGUUUAGGGGCUGAUGUUAAAACAUAUAAAACAUAUAAAGUCCCGUUGACUUCCGUAACAUUUAUACAGAAUAGGGUAAAUAGGAAUAAAAAUAAUAUGAAAGAAUCCAAGGCUCUAGACAAGAAUCUACAUUUGAAAUGGAUCCAAAAUUAUCAGGUUUGAGACAUGAUCCAGUGAGGGUCAGGAAGGAAAGUCCUGAGGGAAGAUUUUCAUGACCAUCUACUGUUAUCUAUUACAUAGGGUUUGUUUGUUCCACAGCUUAUUCUGAAAUAUCUUGUGGAAGCCAUUAUAAGAGACACUGUUUUAGAUAGCAUAUAUUCAUAUUUCUUAUCAGGGGAAAAUGGACUUACUCUUUACUUGUUUCAUUUACUGUAAAAAAUUAUGUUUUAUCUGAUUUAGGAAUAAACCACUACGGAUUAUUGCAGCACAUUGCAGAAAAAAUGCCUGUUGUAACAGGAGUGAUGUCCACUACAAAGGAUUUGGUCUACACCUAAUGCAGUAGUACCCAUUAAUUGCUGAAACGUGGCGUAUCAGUUAUCACUGCUAGCAGACUGCAGCAUACUCUGCAUGGAUAUCGUCAUAAAAUGAACUUUACAAUUCAGACUGUUGCAGAUAGCAAUGUAUGGAGCUCCCCUGCAGGCACCUCCUAACCCUCCUGGCUUCAGACCAGAUUGUACAACUUCCACUCCAGGCUUGUCAUUCUGGUGAAGGAUUUGAGCAAUGAC